rnacentral:lncRNA from 1 species
CUUUUUUUUUUCUUUUUCUUUUUCUUUUUUUUUUUUUGCCUUGUAGUUCGAUGCUCAGCGGGAGAGAUAAGGUCAGAGUACCCACAGGACCCUAUGUCUCCCAAGGGGCGCAACAAAGACUCUUACUUGGCCUGCUGGAUGGAGAGAAAGAGGCCCCUUGGAAUCUCUCUGCCUUCCCAGUCUAGAGCCAUCAUUGGGACCCCCAUUGUUCAAGGAUUUUUGACAGUUCAAGCUGAAGUUUACCAGUUACCGGGCUGGACGGGUUCACUCAUCCAAUUCCGUUUAUUUGCUAUUUGAGGAUCUAAUAUUUACUGUGUCACAAAACAAACAGAAACCAACUACUUAACAUUUAACAUAGCUGCCUUUCCCUGCAUUUUGGUAUGGAAAAAAAACGCAUUUAGACAAUUCAGAAAACUUACCAGGAAAGUGUUCUAUAUUAACUGUCUCAGAGAGAAGUUUUAAUACUGGUUUGUUGCUCAAGAAAACACAGUAAAAUGACAAAUCAAAACCAGAUAUGCAGUUUUCUCAAACGCUCUUAGCAUUGCUGUAUCUUGGA